rnacentral:rRNA from 1 species
AUUGAACGCUGGCGGCAGGCCUAACACAUGCAAGUCGAACGAGUGGCGCACGUGUGAGUAAUGUCUGGGAAACUGCCCGAUGGAGGGGGAUAACUUCUGGAAACGGUAUCUAAUCCCGCAUACCAUCGGAUGUGCCCAUAUGGGAUUAGCUUGUAGGUGGGGUAACGGCUCACCUAGGCGACGAUCCCUAGCUGGUCUGAGAGGAUGACCAGCCACACUGGAACUGAGACACGGUCCAGACUCCUACGGGAGGCAGCAGUGGGGAAUAUUGCACAAUGGGCGCAAGCCUGAUGCAGCCAUGCCGCGUGUAUGAAGAAGGCCUUCGGGUUGUAAAGUACUUUCAGCGGGGAGGCGUUACCCGCAGAAGAAGCACCGGCUAACUCCGUGCCAGCAGCCGCGGUAAUAC